rnacentral:rRNA from 1 species
UUAACACAUGCAAGUCGAACGAUGAAGCCCAGCUUGCUGGGUGGAUUAGUGGCGAACGGGUGAGUAACACGUGAGUAACCUGCCCUUGACUCUGGGAUAAGCGUUGGAAACGACGUCUAAUACCGGAUACGAGCUUCCACCGCAUGGUGAGUUGCUGGAAAGAAUUUUGGUCAAGGAUGGACUCGCGGCCUAUCAGCUUGUUGGUGAGGUAAUGGCUCACCAAGGCGACGACGGGUAGCCGGCCUGAGAGGGUGACCGGCCACACUGGGACUGAGACACGGCCCAGACUCCUACGGGAGGCAGCAGUGGGGAAUAUUGCACAAUGGGCGAAAGCCUGAUGCAGCAACGCCGCGUGAGGGACGACGGCCUUCGGGUUGUAAACCUCUUUUAGCAGGGAAGAAGCGAAAGUGACGGUACCUGCAGAAAAAGCACCGGCUAACUACGUGCCAGCAGCCGCGGUAAUACGUAGGGUGCAAGCGUUGUCCGGAAUUAUUGGGCGUAAAGAGCUCGUAGGCGGUUUGUCGCGUCUGCUGUGAAAUCCCGAGGCUCAACCUCGGGUCUGCAGUGGGUACGGGCAGACUAGAGUGCGGUAGGGGAGAUUGGAAUUCCUGGUGUAGCGGUGGAAUGCGCAGAUAUCAGGAGGAACACCGAUGGCGAAGGCAGAUCUCUGGGCCGCUACUGACGCUGAGGAGCGAAAGGGUGGGGAGCAAACAGGCUUAGAUACCCUGGUAGUCCACCCCGUAAACGUUGGGCGCUAGAUG